rnacentral:rRNA from 1 species
GAUGAACGCUGGCGGCGUGCCUAAUACAUGCAAGUCGAGCGAACAGACGAGGAGCUUGCUCCUCUGACGUUAGCGGCGGACGGGUGAGUAACACGUGGAUAACCUACCUAUAAGACUGGGAUAACUUCGGGAAACCGGAGCUAAUACCGGAUAAUAUAUUGAACCGCAUGGUUCAAUAGUGAAAGACGGUUUUGCUGUCACUUAUAGAUGGAUCCGCGCCGCAUUAGCUAGUUGGUAAGGUAACGGCUUACCAAGGCGACGAUGCGUAGCCGACCUGUGAGGGUGAUCGGCCACACUGGAACUGAGACACGGUCCAGACUCCUACGGGAGGCAGCAGUAGGGAAUCUUCCGCAGUGGGCGAAAGCCUGACGGAGCAACGCCGCGUGAGUGAUGAAGGUCUUCGGAUCGUAAAACUCUGUUAUUAGGGAAGAACAAAUGUGUAAGUAACUAUGCACGUCUUGACGGUACCUAAUCAGAAAGCCACGGCUAACUACGUG